rnacentral:rRNA from 1 species
CGCGCAGGCGGUCAUUUUUGUCGAGUGUGAAAGCCCCGGGCUUAACCUGGGAACUGCGCUCGAAACGGGAUGACUAGAGAUCGGGAGAGGAGAGUGGAAUUCCCAGUGUAGAGGUGAAAUUCGUAGAUAUUGGGAAGAACACCGGUGGCGAAGGCGGCUCUCUGGCCGAUACUGACGCUGAGGCGCGAAAGCGUGGGGAGCAAACA